AAAUAGAAAGAAAGAAGUUAAAGAAAAAGGAAAAAAAGAGAAAAAAGAGAGAAGAAAAUAGGGGUGAUGGCGACUUUUCGCUGCUCUUCUCCUUCUCAUUUGGGCAUGUCCCUUCUCCUACUUUGG
rnacentral:ribozyme from 1 species